rnacentral:rRNA from 1 species
AUUGAACGCUGGCGGCAGGCCUAACACAUGCAAGUCGAGCGGAUGAAGGGAGCUUGCUCCUGGAUUCAGCGGCGGACGGGUGAGUAAUGCCUAGGAAUCUGCCUGGUAGUGGGGAUAACGUCCGGAAACGGGCGCUAAUACCGCAUACGUCCUGAGGGAGAAAGUGGGGGAUCUUCGGACCUCACGCUAUCAGAUGAGCCUAGGUCGGAUUAGCUAGUUGGUGGGGUAAAGGCCUACCAAGGCGACGAUCCGUAACUGGUCUGAGAGGAUGAUCAGUCACACUGGAACUGAGACACGGUCCAGACUCCUACGGGAGGCAGCAGUGGGGAAUAUUGGACAAUGGGCGAAAGCCUGAUCCAGCCAUGCCGCGUGUGUGAAGAAGAUCUUCGGAUUGUAAAGCACUUUAAGUUGGGAGGAAGGGCAGUAAGUUAAUACCUUGCUGUUUUGACGUUACCAACAGAAUAAGCACCGGCUAACUUCGUG